rnacentral:rRNA from 1 species
CUACGGGCUGCUCCAGUGGGGAAUAUUGGACAAUGGAGGAAACCCUGAUCCAGCAAUGCCGCGUGUGUGAAGAAGGCCUGCGGGUUGUAAAGCACUUUCGGUUGGGAGGACUGCUUCUAGCACUAAUAUUGUUGGAAGUUGACGUUACCUUCAGAAGAAGCACCGGCUAACUCCGUGCCAGCAGCCGCGGUAACACGGAGGGUGCAAGCGUUAAUCGGAAUUACUGGGCGUAAAGCGCGCGUAGGCGGCUAGAUCAGUCGGGUGUGAAAGCCCCGGGCUUAACCUGGGAACUGCAUCCGAUACUGUCUAGCUUGAGUACAGGAGAGGAGAGUGGAAUUCCACAUGUAGCGGUGAAAUGCGUAGAUAUGUGGAGGAACACCAAUGGCGAAGGCAGCUCUCUGGCCUGAUACUGACGCUGAGGUGCGAAAGCGUGGGGAGCAAACAGGAUUAGAUACCCUCGUAGUC